CGACCCAAUAACAUUCAGACACGUGAUACAAAUCUACUUGUCAAAAUCAUAUCGUCCGAUGUCGAAUCGACUUUCCGAAAUGAUGCCUGAUACUGACAACUGAUACUGAAUUGAUCGAUCAGUGUGACAGAAGACUAUACCUGCCAACAUGACAAAAUAAUCGAUCACCCAUAUCUUAAAGAAAAUGGCAUCAAAAUCGAGACUCGAUGUGACAAAACUCUCUUCAUCCAAUGUGAUAAACCAUGUGGCAAUUCACAUGUCGGCUCAUCUUGGACUUGAGAGUGGGGGGCAACUGUUGGGG
rnacentral:lncRNA from 1 species